CACGCAUUUGCCCAUACAGUUAAUUAUUUUCCACUAGCUCUUCGAAGGGAAAUGGGCCACUUGUGGAAUGACGAAGGUGAAACCAAUUAACGAACACCUGUUCAUAACUCUGAUAGAGGUCCAAUCAUCAACUAUAUAACAAGAGGUCCAUUUUGGAUAUUUUUUUCAUCCUACUGGACCUCGUCGUCGAGAGUUCUCUCUUCCGUCCUCUCCUAAUAGUAUAAAUCGACGUCGACAGGAAAACGAUGGCGAAAAUGGCUCCGAAAUUUGCUUCAGUUUUACUAAUUGCACUGAUGAUGGGACUGGUCGUUGGCGACGACCAAGGAGAACAGCCGAUUAUGGCCGAUCGCCAAGGUGUUUACAUCACCGAGCCAAUCACAUUAGGCACAUCAGUAACCAUCUUCAUAUACCGUUUGAAUUGCGAUUUUGUUGGCAACGACAUCGAAUAUUAUAGACGAGCUAAUUCCUAUUCCCAAUGUGCCAAUUUAUGUGCUAACAACAAUUUAUGCACUCACUUCACCUUCAAUUUUGUUGGAAAUUACUGUUUUAUGAAAAGGACUAAAGCGGAUACUUUGAAACAGCCUACGCCCCAUGACCAAGGAAUUUGUGGCUUCUUUCCAACUCGAUUGAAGAAUGUCGAGAUGAAAAACGAGGGAAAAUAGUAGUGCACUCUUCUCCUUGUUUGCAACAAUUAUUUCAACAAACGUUCAGUAGACCUAGAGCGUAAUCUGUUACGAUAGAGCGUUAUACUUCCUCUUCGUGAAUAUAUAUAAUUUGCAAACAAUUGUUAGACUACUACAUGAAACCUUGAUUUAAUAUUGAAAACGAGCUUGGUUUCGAUUUUUAAUGAUAUAGCCUACCCUACUACUACUUUGGUGAUUGUUGUCUUGAAUAGUUUUCUUUUUCCACUAAUGAGAGCUCAAUAAAAAUUCACUGCAUUCUAA